AGUGAACGCUGGCGGUAGGCCUAACACAUGCAAGUCGAACGGCAGCACAGUAAGAGCUUGCUCUUACGGGUGGCGAGUGGCGGACGGGUGAGGAAUACAUCGGAAUCUACUUUUUCGUGGGGGAUAACGUAGGGAAACUUACGCUAAUACCGCAUACGACCUACGGGUGAAAGCAGGGGAUCUUCGGACCUUGCGCGAUUGAAUGAGCCGAUGUCGGAUUAGCUGGUUGGCGGGGUAAAGGCCCACCAAGGCGACGAUCCGUAGCUGGUCUGAGAGGAUGAUCAGCCACACCGGAACUGAGACACGGUCCAGACUCCUACGGGAGGCAGCAGUGGGGAAUAUUGGACAAUGGGCGCAAGCCUGAUCCAGCCAUACCGCGUGGGUGAAGAAGGCCUUCGGGUUGUAAAGCCCUUUUGUUGGGAAAGAAAAGCAGCAGGUUAAUACCCCGCUGUUCUGACGGUACCCAAAGAAUAAGCACCGGCUAACUUCGUG
rnacentral:rRNA from 1 species